ensembl:snRNA U2 U2 spliceosomal RNA
AUCGCUUCUCAGCCUUUUGGCUAAUAUCAUGUGUAGUAUCUGUUCUUAUCAGUUUAAUAUCUGAUAUGUUCCUCAUUUGUAUUAAAUGGAUUUUUGAGCUCAGCUUUU